rnacentral:rRNA from 1 species
CCUGCAGAAUAAGCCUCGGCUAACUACGUGCCAGCAGCCGCGGUAAAACGUAGGAGGCGAGCGUUAUCCGGAUUUACUGGGCGUAAAGCGCGUGUAGGCGGAUUGGUAAGUUAGCUGUGAAAGCUCCUGGCUUAACUGGGAGAUGUCGGUUAAUACUGCCAGUCUAGAGUAUGUGAGAGGGAAGUGGAAUUCCGGGUGUAGUGGUGAAAUGCGUAGAUAUCCGGAGGAACACCAGUGGCGAAAGCGGCCUCCUGGACCAUUACUGACGCUCAGACGCGAAAGCUAGGGUAGCAAACGGGAUUAGAGACCCCGGUAGUCCUAGCUGUAAACGAUGUAGACUUGGCGUCGGUGGGUUAAAUCCAUCGGUGUCGAAGCUAACGCGAUAAGUCACCGCCUGAGGACUACGGCCGCAAGGUUAAAACUCAAAGGAAUUGACGGGGACCCGCACAAGCAGCGGAGCGUGUGGUUUAAUUCGUUGCUACACGAAGAACCUUACCUAGGUUUGACAUAUAGGUUGUAGGGAACUGAAAAGGGACCGACCCUUCGGGGAGCCUAUACAGGUGUUGCAUGGCUGUCGUCAGCUCGUGUCGUGAGAUGUUCGGUUAAGUCCGCUAACGAGCGCAACCCUCGCCGUAUGUUACAAGUGUCAUACGGGACUGCCGAGUAAAAGCUGGAGGAAGGUGGGGAUGAUGUCAAGUCAGCAUGACCUUUAUAUCUAGGGCUACACACACGCUACAAUGGUCUGUACAAUGGGUAGCCAAGCCGCGAGGCGGAGCCAAUCCUAAAAGCAGGCCUCAGUUCAGAUUGCAGGCUGCAACCCGCCUGCAUGAAGACGGAGUUGCUAGUAACCGCAGGUCAGCAAUACUGCGGUGAAUACGUUCCCGGGUCUUGUACACACCGCCCGUCACGUCAUGGGAGCUGGCAACGCCUGAAGCCGGUAUCUUAACCCGCAAGGGAAGGAGCCGUCAAAGGCAGGGUCGGUGACU